rnacentral:tRNA from 1 species
GCCGGUGUGGCUCAGUGGACAGAGCGUCCGUCCGUAGACCGAAGGGCCCCGGGUUCGAUUCCGGUCAAGGGCA